rnacentral:rRNA from 1 species
AUUGAACGCUGGCGGCAUGCUUUACACAUGCAAGUCGAACGGCAGCACGGGCUUCGGCCUGGUGGCGAGUGGCGAACGGGUGAGUAAUGCAUCGGAACGUACCGUGUAAUGGGGGAUAACGUAGCGAAAGUUACGCUAAUACCGCAUACGCCCUGAGGGGGAAAGUGGGGGACCGCAAGGCCUCACGUUAUACGAGCGGCCGAUGUCGGAUUAGCUAGUUGGUGGGGUAAAGGCCUACCAAGGCGACGAUCCGUAGCGGGGUCUGAGGAGGAUGAUCCGCCACACGUGGGACUGAGACGACCGGCCCAGACCUCCGU